rnacentral:rRNA from 1 species
UACGUAGGGUGCAAGCGUUGUCCGGAAUUAUUGGGCGUAAAGAGCUCGUAGGCGGUCCGUCACGUCGGCUGUGAAAACCUGGGGCUCAACCCCGGGCCUGCAGCCGAUACGGGCGGACUAGAAUUCGGUAGGGGAGACUGGAAUUCCUGGUGUAGCGGUGAAAUGCGCAGAUAUCAGGAGGAACACCGGUGGCGAAGGCGGGUCUCUGGGCCGACAUUGACGCUGAGGAGCGAAAGCGUGGGGAGCGAACAGG